rnacentral:lncRNA from 1 species
UGCUAUAAUUUCACUUUGUUGCAUUUUAUUCAUAUCACUGAUUUAUAAAAACAAGACUUCAGUAAUAUGCCAUACAUGCAAGAAACACAUUCAUGCGCCGUAGCCUUCCACUAAGCACUCCACUUUGCAAUAGAGAAUUGUACCAAUAUGAUUAAAGCAAUAUGUCAUAAAGAUGUGUUUUUGUACUGUCUGGACAUUUUUGCGGUCGCUUUUCCUACAUCAACAUUUUUAACAGAAGGGCAGUUUUGAUAUUUAAAAAAACUAGGACCGACAAUGACAAGAGUCAUCUCUUUCAGUAACUUCUUCCAUCUUUUGAAUUAAAAUGUUGAUAAUUGUUACGCGACGCGGUCACACCACUUCUUAGACAUUGGCAGAGAUAAAACAAGAGCACCGCCAUCGCUCGUCUGCAAGUGCUGGACAAAAUGUAAGAAAACACUUAAAGGUUAGAUUUUCUAAGUAUAAAAAGGGUCAUAAUUCUUACAAAAUGCAAGUUAGAAUUAUGGUACUUAGUCUACAUAGUCAUCUGAUGAUGAUACACAAGUGUGCAAAGUUUCAAAGCUGUUGGAGCUUUGA